GACGAACGCUGGCGGCGUGCUUAACACAUGCAAGUCGAACGGAAAGGCCCUGCUUUUGUGGGGUGCUCGAGUGGCGAACGGGUGAGUAACACGUGAGUAACCUGCCCUUGACUUUGGGAUAACUUCAGGAAACUGGGGCUAAUACCGGAUAGGAGCUCCUGCUGCAUGGUGGGGGUUGGAAAGUUUCGGCGGUUGGGGAUGGACUCGCGGCUUAUCAGCUUGUUGGUGGGGUAGUGGCUUACCAAGGCUUUGACGGGUAGCCGGCCUGGGAGGGUGACCGGCCACAUUGGGACUGAGAUACGGCCCAUACUCCUACGGGAGGCAGCAGUGGGGAAUAUUGCACAAUGGGCGGAAGCCGUAUGCAGCAACGCCGCGUGCUGGAUGACGGCCUUCGGGUUGUAAACCGCUUUCGCCUGUGACGAAGCGUGAGUGACGGUAAUGGGUAAAGAAGCACCGGCUAACUACGUG
rnacentral:rRNA from 1 species